GGAGGUAGCUCAAGUGGUAGAGUGCAUGCUUAGCAUGCAUGAGGUCCUGGGUUCAAUCCUCAGUACCUCCA
rnacentral:tRNA from 1 species